CCUACGGGAGGCAGCAGUGGGGAAUAUUGCGCAAUGGGCGAAAGCCUGACGCAGCGACGCCGCGUGAGGGAUGAAGGUCUUCGGAUCUUAAACCUCUGUCAGCAGGGAAGAACGGUCACUGUGCUAAUCAGCAGUGAAUUUACGGUACCUGCAAAGGACGCACCGGAGAAGUCCGUGCCAGCAGCCGCGGUAAUACGUAGGGGGCAGGCGUUAUCCGGAUUUACUGGGUGUAAAGGGAGCGUAGGCGGUUUAUCAAGUCAGAAGUGAAAGGCCGGGGCUCAACUCCGGGACUGCGUUUGAAACUGGUGAACUAGAUUGCAGGAGAGGUAAGUGGAAUGCCUGGUGUAGCGGUGAAAUGCGUAGAUAUUAGGAGGAACACCGGUGGCGAAGGCGGCUUACUGGACUGUAAAUGACGCUGAGGCUCGAAGGCGUGGGGAGCAAACAGGAUUAGAUACCCUGGUAGUC
rnacentral:rRNA from 1 species